UGAACGCUGGCGGCGUGCCUAACACAUGCAAGUCGAACGGGUUAAGUGAAAUUUCGGAUGGAGCUAACUUAGUGGCGGACGGGUGAGUAACGCGUGGAUAACCUGCCUCACACUGGGGGAUAGCAGCUGGAAACGGCUGGUAAUACCGCAUAAGACCACAGCACCGCAUGGUGCAGGGGUAAAAGAUUUAUCGGUGUGAGAUGGAUCCGCGUCUGAUUAGCCAGUUGGCGGGGUAACGGCCCACCAAAGCGACGAUCAGUAGCCGGCCUGAGAGGGUGAACGGCCACAUUGGGACUGAGACACGGCCCAAACUCCUACGGGAGGCAGCAGUGGGGAAUAUUGCACAAUGGGCGCAAGCCUGAUGCAGCAACGCCCGCGUGAGUGAAGAAGUAUUUCGGUAUGUAAAGCUCUAUCGGCAGGGAAGAAAGGCCCUUAACAGGGAGAUGACGGUACCUGACUAAGAAGCCCCGGCUAACUACGUGCCAGCCGCCGC
rnacentral:rRNA from 1 species